UUUUUUUAUUUUACCUAUUUUUUCUAUGACUUUAUCAGUUGGUUGAAACAGCGUUUUCAAUAUGUCUGCAUGAGUUUUAGAGCUUCAAAGAACCGCGAAUGGCCUUUGCAGGUCACCAAGUUUGUAGCAGUUGUACCGAUGUUUAAGCACUCCAACAAGGCAUCGAAUAUGGCCAGUUUUUUCUUGAACUAUGCAAAAGCGUUAGAAGCUGUUGGCGCAUGGCCACAGGUGAUAAGGAACGUACAGAUUUCAUGAGGAAAGUGGCGAUAUAAGUUGUGUUUAGAAUGUACAACAUGAUAUUUUCGUCUUCCUGAGCAACAAUUGGAAUUCUGUGGAGUUUGUUUUGUGAUAGAGCUUUGCAACUGUCGUAAAUAGAAAAUUCAGAAUUUACGGUAAUCAGAUGGUGUCUAGGUUUGAUGUCGUGGACAACAAUAGACUGCAGUCGUCCUAACAUAAAUUCCAUAAGCUGUUCAUCAUGCAAAUGUUCGAUCGAUAUGGGAAGUUGACCCAGUAUCGCUGAAACUAGAUCUCCAAUGGUCACCAAUCCUGCAUAGUGGCGCUCGGUAGAAUCCCAUAAGAUGGCAGAAUCUGUGUCUAAAAAAGCAGUUUUGUUAUUUUCUACUGUAUUGCCGUAACAUUUUUGCGAUGUGUUACAUAUGUACAGGUCAUGUACCGUUUUCUUCCAAGGCCAAAAAACUAGCCCGGAGAGAUAUUCGAGUAUCAAGUAUGAUGAUUUUUGAGCUUUGGGGUGUCACUGAAUGGCACUUAUGACGGCGUAGAAAAUCUGAAAUAGCCAUACGAUCUUCAGUGUAUAGAGUGCUUACUCUUAUUUUGUGCUCUCUGAUAGAGGCCGCAUUUGUGUCUUCCUGAAAAGAAAAGGUUGUUGGUUUGGGAUGGCUGUUAAGUGUCUGAUAUUGAACGUCUAUAUUUUUUGUGCAAUCCUCAUGUGGCGGCUGAGACUGAGCACUGGUGUAUUGUUCGUCUAGAUUUGUUUUCUUGGCGCAACUGACGCUUUCUGGGUAUAUUGGGAUGGUAGAGUCGAAAUUUGAGCUAGCUAUUUCGAUCUGAAACAAAUCAGAGUCUUCCAUGUUUUGAGAAUUUUAGAAGGAUUUGGCAGGCUCUAAAAAAUUUUUACGACUACGUGAAAAUUUUGGAAUUGGAGUCGGUGUCAUUUGAAAUUUCAAGGUGGCAUUGAAAGCUUGUAGUGAAUGCCGCGCGAAGUUAUAGCAAAAACAUAUAAAAACAAAAUUUAGUAAAAGUCGCAGCGCGUUGAAAAGAAUGUUUUGGCAUCAUUUGUGGUCACACAGACAAUGGGAGCCUUUGAAGGCAAAGGGAGGUCUGUGUGUCAAGGUUUUCGCACGCCAGCAAAUCAGGACCAGGGUCCAGAGCGCCACGUCUGACGA